rnacentral:rRNA from 1 species
GAUAAGGAGCUUGCUCCUUUGACGUUAGCGGCGGACGGGUGAGUAACACGUGGGUAACCUACCUAUAAGACUGGGAUAACUUCGGGAAACCGGAGCUAAUACCGGAUAAUAUUUCGAACCGCAUGGUUCGAUAGUGAAAGAUGGUUUUGCUAUCACUUAUAGAUGGACCCGCGCCGUAUUAGCUAGUUGGUAAGGUAACGGCUUACCAAGGCGACGAUACGUAGCCGACCUGAGAGGGUGAUCGGCCACACUGGAACUGAGACACGGUCCAGACUCCUACGGGAGGCAGCAGUAGGGAAUCUUCCGCAAUGGGCGAAAGCCUGACGGAGCAACGCCGCGUGAGUGAUGAAGGUCUUCGGAUCGUAAAACUCUGUUAUUAGGGAAGAACAUACGUGUAAGUAACUGUGCACGUCUUGACGGUACCUAAUCAGAAAGCCACGGCUAACUACGUGCCAGCAGCCGCGGUAAUACGUAGGUGGCAAGCGUUAUCCGGAAUUAUUGGGCGUAAAGCGCGCGUAGGCGGUUUUUUAAGUCUGAUGUGAAAGCCCACGGCUCAACCGUGGAGGGUCAUUGGAAACUGGAAAACUUGAGUGCAGAAGAGGAAAGUGGAAUUCCAUGUGUAGCGGUGAAAUGCGCAGAGAUAUGGAGGAACACCAGUGGCGAAGGCGACUUUCUGGUCUGUAACUGACGCUGAUGUGCGAAAGCGUGGGGAUCAAACAGGAUUAGAUACCCUGGUAGUCCACGCCGUAAACGAUGAGUGCUAAGUGUUAGGGGGUUUCCGCCCCUUAGUGCUGCAGCUAACGCAUUAAGCACUCCGCCUGGGGAGUACGACCGCAAGGUUGAAACUCAAAGGAAUUGACGGGGACCCGCACAAGCGGUGGAGCAUGUGGUUUAAUUCGAAGCAACGCGAAGAACCUUACCAAAUCUUGACAUCCUUUGACAACUCUAGAGAUAGAGCCUUCCCCUUCGGGGGACAAAGUGACAGGUGGUGCAUGGUUGUCGUCAGCUCGUGUCGUGAGAUGUUGGGUUAAGUCCCGCAACGAGCGCAACCCUUAAGCUUAGUUGCCAUCAUUAAGUUGGGCACUCUAAGUUGACUGCCGGUGACAAACCGGAGGAAGGUGGGGAUGACGUCAAAUCAUCAUGCCCCUUAUGAUUUGGGCUACACACGUGCUACAAUGGACAAUACAAAGGGCAGCGAAACCGCGAGGUCAAGCAAAUCCCAUAAAGUUGUUCUCAGUUCGGAUUGUAGUCUGCAACUCGACUACAUGAAGCUGGAAUCGCUAGUAAUCGUAGAUCAGCAUGCUACGGUGAAUACGUUCCCGGGUCUUGUACACACCGCCCGUCACACCACGAGAGUUUGUAACACCCGAAGCCGGUGGAGUAACCAUUGGAGCUAGC